GGUCAAUUGUCUCCCUCCAGAUUUCUCCUUCAGGCUCCUGGUGUUUGAGUAACUGGGAGCCCAAGGGGACAUGGUAGAUUCUUAGACUAACGUUCUCCUUUUUUUCUUAUCAGAGUCAAGACUGCAAACUAACUCAAAUAGGACCAUGCCCAACACAUCUGAUGGAGUUGUUUUUACAAUCGUAAUAAAAGAAAAAAGAGAAGAUGAUGACUAGGUUUUCGGAAAAGCUGGAAUACACACUCGUCUCCUCAGCAGGGAUCUGACACCCGGAAAGGUGUCACACAGACGAGGGGCUAUCCACCUGCUCAAUGAGAAAGCCCCAAAUUCAAAGAAACAAUCUAUCCCACAUCCUCCAUUUCUGAAAUUCCCAGGGAUGUACCCAGUUCACCUCUACCCUGCCUUGGAUUGCUCACAGAUACAGCAGGGAUUGGGCUCACCGCGAGGACUAAAGAAAAUAAUUUCAGCUCCUGGGACCAUGCCAGAUGUGACAUAAGGAAACAUCGGAGAUGCCCCUAGCCAAGGAGCAGGCACACACGAUGCAGUGUUGGCUUACGUGAGAGCCCCAGGAACCCUGCUCAGGAGAUAAGGACGGAGCAGGGAGGCCGACGCAGCCCUGAGCAAUGGCGCCCACUUAUUGUUACAAACUGGGGUUCCCCCAACUUCACAUUCUUUCCCUCAUUCAUAAGAAACGCCACGGAGAAAGAUACCAGCUCACCCACAGCCAGCGCC